rnacentral:rRNA from 1 species
UCGCGACCGAAGGUGGCGUCAACCGAGCCCGAGUCGGCCAAGCGGGAGGGGCGGCGGGGAGUGGUUCAUAAAAAGGGCGGGCUGCGCAAACAGCCCGCCCGUCCUGAGGGUUGAGUCGGCGACCGCUUAGAAGCUGAAUUUCGACGACAGGCUGAUGGUGCGCGGCGUGGAAGGCUGGGCCGAGAACCGGCUGUUGCCGCCCGCGUAGUAAUCCUUGUCGAAGACAUUCAUGACGCCGAGAUUGAAAUACCACUUGUUGCGCGUGUAGGUCACGAAGGCGUUAUAGACGCCGUAGCCCGGGAUGUUGGUUCGCUUAUUUACUUAAAUAGAAAAGGUAGCGAUACCUAGUUCGAGAACUAAUUAGUCUAACAUGCUAUAUGCAUAAGAAAGGCCUACGGGUCUUCGAGGGUGGUGGCCUCUGUGAUUGAGAUCUAAUGUAAAGACAUUUUCAGGUGGGGAGUUUGGCUGGGGCGGCACAUUUGUUAAAAGAUAACACAAGUGUCCAAAGGGGGGCUCAAGAAGGACGGAAACCUUCUGUAGAGUAAAAGGGCAAAAA